GACGCGCAGUCGCCCUUGGAUCCAGACUUUGAUUCUGGCUCGGGAUGAACGCUAGCUACAGGCUUAACACAUGCAAGUCGAGGGGCAGCAUUUCAGUUUGCUUGCAAACUGGAGAUGGCGACCGGCGCACGGGUGAGUAACACGUAUCCAACCUGCCGAUAACUCGGGGAUAGCCUUUCGAAAGAAAGAUUAAUACCCGAUGGUAUAAUCAGACCGCAUGGUCUUGUUAUUAAAGAAUUUCGGUUAUCGAUGGGGAUGCGUUCCAUUAGGCAGUUGGUGAGGUAACGGCUCACCAAACCUUCGAUGGAUAGGGGUUCUGAGAGGAAGGUCCCCCACAUUGGAACUGAGACACGGUCCAAACUCCUACGGGAGGCAGCAGUGAGGAAUAUUGGUCAAUGGGCGCAGGCCUGAACCAGCCAAGUAGCGUGAAGGAUGACUGCCCUAUGGGUUGUAAACUUCUUUUAUAUGGGAAUAAAGUUUUCCACGUGUGGAAUUUUGUAUGUACCAUAUGAAUAAGGAUCGGCUAACUCCGUGCCAGCAGCCGCGGUAAUACGGAGGAUCCGAGCGUUAUCCGGAUUUAUUGGGUUUAAAGGGAGCGUAGGUGGACAGUUAAGUCAGUUGAGAAAGUUUGCGGCUCAACCGUAAAAUUGCAGUUGAUACUGGCUGUCUUGAGUACAGUAGAGGUGGGCGGAAUUCGUGGUGUAGCGGUGAAAUGCUUAGAUAUCACGAAGAACUCCGAUUGCGAAGGCAGCUCACUGGACUGCAACUGACACUGAUGCUCGAAAGUGUGGGUAUCAAACAGGAUUAGAUACCCUGGUAGUCCACACAGUAAACGAUGAAUACUCGCUGUUUGCGAUAUACAGUAAGCGGCCAAGCGAAAGCAUUAAGUAUUCCACCUGGGGAGUACGCCGGCAACGGUGCAACUCAAAGGAAUUGACGGAAGGGGGAAUUGGUUUAAACGU
rnacentral:rRNA from 1 species